rnacentral:rRNA from 1 species
CAUUAUGCCUAGCCUUAAACGUUGAUAGUAACUUACAGGUGCUACCCGCCUGGGGAUUACGAGCGCAAGCUUAAAACCCAAAGGACCUGGCGGUGCUUUACAUCCACCUAGAGGAGCCUGUCCUAGAACCGAUAAUCCCCGUUUAACCUCACCCCUCCUAGUAUUAACCUUCCAGCCUAUAUACCGCCGUCGUAAGCUUACCCUGUAAAGGACUUAAAGUAAGCCAAAUUAACCACCUUUCUGAACGUCAGGUCGAGGUGUAGCCUAUGAAGGGGCAGAGAUGGGCUACAUUUACUAAUUUUAGUACAUACGAACGACUAUACUGAAAUGUAUGUCCAAAGGAGGAUUUAGAAGUAAGCUGAGAAAUAGAGUGUCCAGCUGAAUUUUGGCUCUGAAGCACGUACACACCGCCCGUCACUCUCCCCGAAAAUAAUUAUAUUCUAAUUAAAACACCACCUAAAAUAGAGGGGAGGCAAGUCGUAA